UAGGACAAUGUAAAGCAAUUCAAACGAGAAAACUAACGGCUUUAUUUAUGUAAAAAAAAAAAUGAACGAAAAACAAAUAUGUAACACAUAAACAAACGACAACACUGAAUUACAGGCUCCUGACUUGGGACAGGCACAUACAUAAAUAAUGUGGCGGGGUUAAACAUGUUAGUGGGAUCCCAACCCUCCCCCUAACCUGGGACAGUGGUAUAACAGUACAACAUAAGAACGAACUAUAAAAAUCAGUUGAAA
rnacentral:lncRNA from 1 species